GACUGUCAGCUGGCACCAAGUCUCGGAGAGUCUGCUGGUGGAGGACGCCGUCAGCCAACUGAACCCGCGCGCGGCACCCCGCUGGGCAGUGCGUGUCCAGCCAGCAGCGCGCGCGGUCGGCCUGCUGGGCCUCUGCCUGCACGAUGUCUGGAAGUUUUGUCACCGGCGCGACUCGUUCGAGUCGCUGCUUGGCCGGCGGCUUACGGAUGCGCCUGUUGUUGGUCAGGCGCCGGACGUGAUGGCGGCGCUCUCCCGCCUGAC